AUUGAACGCUGGCGGCAUGCCUUACACAUGCAAGUCGAACGGCAGCACGGACUUCGGUCUGGUGGCGAGUGGCGAACGGGUGAGUAAUAUAUCGGAACAUACCUUGUAGUGGGGGAUAACUAUCCGAAAGGAUAGCUAAUACCGCAUACGAUCUAAGGAUGAAAGCGGGGGAUCUUCGGACCUCGUGCUAUAAGAGUGGCCGAUAUCUGAUUAGCUAGUUGGUGAGGUAAAGGCUCACCAAGGCGACGAUCAGUAGCUGGUCUGAGAGGACGACCAGCCACACUGGAACUGAGACACGGUCCAGACUCCUACGGGAGGCAGCAGUGGGGAAUUUUGGAUAAUGGGGGCAACCCUGAUCCAGCAAUGCCGCGUGAGUGAAGAAGGCCUUCGGGUUGUAAAGCUCUUUUGUCAGGGAAGAAACGGUUGUGGCUAAUAUCCAUGGCUAAUGACGGUACCUGAAGAAUAAGCACCGGCUAACUACGUGCCAGCCGCCGCUGUAAAAC
rnacentral:rRNA from 1 species